UGGGGAAUUUUGCACAAUGGGGGAAACCCUGAUGCAGCGACGCCGCGUGAUUUAGAAGGCCUUCGGGUUGUAAAAAUCUUUUCUAUGGGAAGAAAAUGACAGUACCAUAGGAAUAAGGACCGGCUAAUUACGUGCCAGCAGCCGCGGUAAUACGUAAGGUCCGAGCGUUGUCUGGAAUCAUUGGGCGUAAAGGGUACGUAGGCGGGUAAGCAAGUUAGAAGUGAAAUCCUAUAGCUCAACUAUAGUAAGCUUUUAAAACUGCUCAUCUUGAGGUAUGGAAGGGAAAGUGGAAUUCCUAGUGUAGCGGUGAAAUGCGCAGAUAGUAGGAGGAAUACCGGUGGCGAAGGCGACUUUCUGGCCAUAACCUGACGCUGAGGUACGAAAGCGUGGGUAGCAAACAGG
rnacentral:rRNA from 1 species